rnacentral:rRNA from 1 species
UGGCGGACGGGUGAGUAACACGUGAGCAACCUGCCUUUCAGAGGGGGAUAACGGCUGGAAGCGGUCGCUAAUACCGCAUGAUGUGUUCGGAUGGCAUCAUCUGAACAUCAAAGAUUUAUCGCUGAAAGAUGGGCUCGCGUCUGAUUAGAUAGUUGGUGGGGUAACGGCCUACCAAGUCUACGAUCAGUAGCCGGACUGAGAGGUUGAACGGCCACAUUGGGACUGAGAUACGGCCCAGACUCCUACGGGAGGCAGCAGUGGGGAAUAUUGCACAAUGGGGGAAACCCUGAUGCAGCAACGCCGCGUGAAGGAUGACGGUUUUCGGAUUGUAAACUUCUUUUCUUGGUGACGAAGACAGUGACGGUAGCUAAGGAAUAAGCAUCGGCUAACUACGUGCCAGCAGCCGCGGUAAUACGUAGGAUGCAAGCGUUAUCCGGAUUUACUGGGUGUAAAGGGAGCGCAGGCGGGACUGC